AUGAGGCCCCGGAAACAACAGAUGCCGGAAGCGGUCACCACCUCUAGGACUGGCGGGCUGAUGGUGGAGGGACCGGGUCAACAGAAGGCAGGGAGCGCUGGGGCGGGGAGGGGGCUGCGGCCACCCAUGAGACGGCCUGGUCCCUUCCAUCUCCUGCUGGUGUCUCCCCUUAGCAGAAAAUUCAGGAAGCCCCGGGACAGAGGGGCCUCGGUGAGGCUGCCCUGUAGAUGCCCCCAACCACACGGCAGAGGAGGGCAGAAGACGAAGGGGCGGGGGACACAGAGAAAGGAAGCAACAGAGACCAGAUCAGUUUCCAGACUGGCUGUGUUUACAUCGUCGUGGGACAUCAGGCCCCUGGUUGCCUCUGUGGACACGAGUCUGCUAAAGAUUCCUGAUUUUCCCAGGGCACCUGGAAGAUCAGAAACCUGAUGAGUUUUGAUAAGAGUGUCUCUCCAGUGGAGGAUGGUUCUACAAAACGGCAGGUCAGGACAAGACCCAUUCGGAAACAUGCUCGAGUCCUAAGUACAGGUGUGGCGAAA
rnacentral:lncRNA from 1 species